GACGAACGCUGGCGGCGUGCUUAACACAUGCAAGUCGUACGGUAAGGCCCUUUCGGGGGUACACGAGUGGCGAACGGGUGGGUAACACGUGAGUAACCUGCCCACAACUUUGGGAUAACGCUAGGAAACUGGUGCUAAUACUGGAUAUGUGCUCCUGCUGCAUGGUGGGGGUUGGAAAGCUCCGGCGGUUGUGGAUGGACUCGCGGCCUAUCAGCUUGUUGGUGGGGUAGUGGCCUACCAAGGCGGCGACGGGUAGCCGGCCUGAGAGGGUGACCGGCCACAUUGGGACUGAGAUACGGCCCAGACUCCGACGGGAGGCAGCAGUGGGGAAUAUUGCACAAUGGGCGCAAGCCUGAUGCAGCAACGCCGCGUGCGGGAUGACGGCCUUCGGGUUGUAAACCGAUUUCAGCAGGGACGAAGCUUUUUGUGACGGUACCUGCAGAAGAAGCACCGGCUAACUACGUG
rnacentral:rRNA from 1 species